UAGGGAAUAUUGCACAAUGGAGGAAACUCUGAUGCAGCGACGCCGCGUGAGUGAUGAAGGACUUCGGUUUGUAAAGCUCUGUUGUCUGGGAAUAAAUAAAUGAAUGUACCAGACGAGAAAGGGACGGCUAACUUCGUGCCAGCAGCCGCGGUAAUACGAAGGUCCCAAGCGUUGCUCGGAAUCAUUGGGCGUAAAGCGGGCGCGGGUGGCUUCUUAAGUCAGAAGUGAAAGCCCAGGGCUUAACCCUGGAAGUGCUUUUGAUACUGGGAAGCUUGAGUGUGGGAGAGGGUGCUAGAAUACCUAGUGUAGUGGUGAAAUACGUAGAUAUUAGGUGGAACACCGGUGGCGAAGGCGGGUGCCUGGCCCAACACUGACACUUAGGCCCGAAAGCGUGGGGAUC
rnacentral:rRNA from 1 species